rnacentral:rRNA from 1 species
GAUCCUGGCUCAGGAUGAACGCUAGCGGCAGGCUUAACACAUGCAAGUCGAGGGGCAGCAUAAUGGUAGUAAUACUAUUGAUGGCGACCGGCGGACGGGUGCGUAACGCGUAUGCAACCUACCCUUUACAGGGGGGAUAAACGACUGAGAAAUCGGUACUAAUACCCCAUAAUAUUCUGGGAGGCAUCUUUCGGAGUUGAAAGCUUUGGUGGUAAAGGAUGGGCAUGCGUUGUAUUAGCUAGUUGGUAAGG